rnacentral:rRNA from 1 species
AAAGACCCUAUGAAGCUUUACUGUAACUUGAGAUUGGUUUUGAAUUUUUUUUGCGCAGUAUAAGUGGGAGGCUUUGAUUUAUUUUUUUGGAAAUAAGGAGCUAAAAUGUGAGAUACCACUCUUAAAAAGUUAAAAGUCUAAUAAUAUUCUUUUAUCAAGAUAUUUGACAUUUUCAGGUAGGCAGUUUUACUGGGGCGGUAGCCUCCUAAAAAGUAACGGAGGCGUACAAAGGUUUUUUCAGUCUGGGCGGAAAUCAGUUGUAGAGUGUAAAGACAAAAAAAAGCUUGACUGUGAGACCAACAAGUCAAACAGAGACGAAAGUCGGUCUUAGUGAUCCGAUGGUUCUG